rnacentral:tRNA from 1 species
GGGAUUGUGGCUCAGAGGGAGAGCACUCGCCUCGCAUGUGUGAGGCACUGGGUUCAAUCCUCAGCCCCA